rnacentral:rRNA from 1 species
UACGUAGGUGACAAGCGUUGUCCGGAUUUACUGGGCGUAAAGAGCGCGCAGGCGGUCGUUCAAGUCGAGUGUGAAAGCCCCCGGCUCAACUGGGGAGGGUCACUCGAUACUGAUCGACUCGAAGGCAGGAGAGGGUAGUGGAAUUCCCGGUGUAGUGGUGAAAUGCGUAGAUAUCGGGAGGAACACCAGUGGCGAAGGCGGCCAUCUGGAUCAACACUGACGCUGAGGCACGAAAGCGUGGGGAGCAAACAGG